UACGUAGGGUGCAAGCGUUGCUCGGAAUCAUUGGGCGUAAAGCGCACGUAGGCGGUCUGUUAUGUCGGAUGUGAAAGCCCUUGGCUUAACUGAGGAAGUGCAUCCGAAACUGGCAGGCUAGAGUACUAAAGAGGGUCGCGGAAUUCCCGGUGUAGAGGUGAAAUUCGUAGAUAUCGGGAGGAACACCGGUGGCGAAGGCGGCGACCUGGGUAGAUACUGACGCUGAGGUGCGAAAGCGUGGGGAGCAAACAGG
rnacentral:rRNA from 1 species